rnacentral:misc_RNA from 1 species
GAUGAAGAACGUAGCGAAAUGCGAUAAGUAAUGUGAAUUGCAGAAUUCAGUGAAUCAUCGAAUCUUUGAACGCACAUUGCGCCCCUUGGUAUUCCGGGGGGCAUGCCUGUUCGAGCGUCAUUUCAACCCUCAAGCUCAGCUUGGUAUUGAGUCCAUGUCAGUAAUGGCAGGCUCUAAAAUCAGUGGCGGCGCCGCUGGGUCCUGAACGUAGUAAUAUCUCUCGUUACAGGUUCUCGGUGUGCUUCUGCCAAAACCCAAAUUUUCUAUGGUUGACCUCGGAUCAGGUAGGGAUACCCGCUGAACUUAAGCAUAUCAAAAGCGGAGGA